rnacentral:rRNA from 1 species
GACGAACCGUGCGAACGUUAUUCGGAUUCACUGGGCUUAAAGGGCGCGUAGGCGGCGACUUAAGUCUGGGGUGAAAUCCCUCGGCUCAACUGAGGAACUGCACGGGAUACUGGAAGACUUGAGUUCGGGAGAGGGAAGCGGAAUUCCGGGUGUAGCGGUGAAAUGCGUAGAUAUCAGGAGGAACACCGGUGGUGUAGACGGCUUUCUGGACCGUAACUGACGCUGAGACACGAAAGCGUGGGUAGCAAACAGG